GUCUAUAUGGUUGGUAUAUAAAGUCUGGCCUGCCCACUGAUAAAAGUUAAAGGGCCGCGGUAUUUUGACCGUGCGAAGGUAGCAUAAUCAUUAGUCUCUUAAUUGGGGGCUUGUAUGAAUGGUUGGACAAAAAAUAAGCUGUCUCAAUUGUAAGAAUUGAAUUUAACUUUUAAGUGAAAAGGCUUAAAUAAUCUAGGGGGACGAUAAGACCCUAUAAAGCUUUACAAUUAUCUAAUUGAUUUAUAAAUUGUUAGUAUAAACUUAGGUUAAUUAGUGUUUGUUUCGUUGGGGCGACGAGAAUAUAAUUUUGUAACUGUUCUUUUAUGGUUUGUUACAGUAAUUUUUGGUAAAAAAUUGAUCCUUUAUUAAAGAUUAAAAGAUUAAGUUACUUUAGGGAUAACAGCGUAAUCUUCUUUGAAAGUUCGUAUCGACAAGAAGGGUUGCGACCUCGAUGUUGAAUUAAGGGUUCUUUGUGGUGCAGCAGCUACAAUAAGAAGGUCUGUUCGACCUUUAAUUCCUUACG
rnacentral:rRNA from 1 species